rnacentral:rRNA from 1 species
UGAGGAAUAUUGCGCAAUGGGCGAAAGCCUGACGCAGCGACGCCGCGUGGAGGAUGAAGGUCUUAGGAUUGUAAACUUCUGUUAAGUGGGAAGAAAAGCAUAGCUCUAAUACAGUUAUGUCAUGACGGUACCAUUAGAGAAAGCACCGGCUAAACUCGUGCCAGCAGCCGCGGUAAUACGAGUGGUGCAAGCGUUAUUCGGAAUAAUUGGGCGUAAAGGGUGCGCAGGCGGCAAAUUAAGUCUAUUGUUAAAUCUCUCGGCCUAACCGAGAACAUGCGAUAGAUACUGGUUAGCUAGAGAUUGGAAGAGAGAAGUGGAAUUCUUGGAGUAGCGGUAAAAUGCGUAGAUCUCAAGAGGAACACCAAUGGCGAAGGCAGCUUCCUGGUCCAUUUCUGACGCUCAUGCACGAAAGCGUGGGGAGCAAACAGG